AUUGGUUCCAUUUUAUGAAAAUAUUUAUUCCCUUUUUUCAUUAUAAAUGACCUUUUACUUUUUUUGCUUCAUAGAACAAGAUGUUACAAUUAUGGUUUUUAAAUUAUCUUUGAUUUGCUAUUUAAAUGCUUGAACAGUAAAUUCUAUGAAGAAUUGAGAAACAAAACAAGGUGACGAUGACAAGUUAUUUGCUUUGUUUUUAUUUUAUUUAGCGGUCUGAUUUUAUUAUAUCUUUGCUGUUGUUCAUCUUCGAAAUCAGUGUUGUAUUUGAAGUAACUCUAUUUCUCAGAAGCUUCUAGUGACUUUUCUCCAUAGCUUUUUGCUUAAUCUUUUUUUCACAUGAUUUACUCUUUCUUGGGAUUUGAGAUUUGUUUUUUUAGCUUUAUAUUUUAUGCCUACCAAUCUGAGCAAUGAUCUUAGAGGAAGAUUAUGCAUAUUUUUGCAGACACAUUUUCAGAAAAUUAUGCAGUAAAAAAAUAUGCAUAUUUAUUGUCACAAUCACAAACUGAAGCGUCAUAACAUUUCUGCACUCUGAUAUGGUACCCAUACUUCUUUUACUGUCAGUUUCCUUUUUGACAUGACAACUAUAUUUUUCAGCAGUCACCUGGUACAAUCCUGCACUCGAACCAUACUGAUAUAUCAGACUCUGAUUCAAGGGCUGUACGCAGUACUCCCUAUUUCCUUUAUCUUUUCCCAAAAAUCUGGAGUAAGCGUAAUGUUACUUCUAAAAAAAAUACAGUACACUCCUAUAUAUAUAUAUAUAUAUAUAUAUAUAUACACACACACAUAUACAUAGGCUUCAAACCAUAUACAUUUCUGCAUCAUCACCUUUGAAAGAAGAACAAAGGCCAUCAACCACCUCAGUUUUCUGACUCAAUAGAAUGAUAGAAAACUACAAGUUAAUCCCAAAAAUCAACCUUAGUGAAAAGAACUGGCAAGCUAAGGUAAUAGUUGCAGUAAAGUUGGCGCCAAAGCAAGCAAGAAACAGUAACAAUAAAUAUCAAAACAUGGUACUUAUGGAUCUCAAGGGAAAUAAAGUGCAAAGAACACUUAUGAUGGAAACAUUAUUGCCUUCGAAGAUCAGCUUCUUUUGAGCAAAACAUACAUCAUUUCAAAUGCUCUCGUUAAAGACACCAAACCUGAAUAUUGAGCUUCAAAUGGUGACAUGCAAUGGACAAUAUCUGGAAAGACACGAGUUGAAGAAGUUAAUGAAAAUAAUCUGGAAUUCUUGUUUUCAACAUACACAUUUACUCCAUUUGAAGAUCUAGAUAAAUUCAUGGACUGCAACAACAACAUAAGUUCUUUCUGCUACCUCUUUCUAUAUUUUUUCGUAGCUAUAUCUUAUCUUUUUACUUCAGUACAUUCAUAUUCGCUUAUCGUAUUUAUUAACAUUUAACUGAUGCUGCUACAAAUAAUAUCUAUAUAGGCGUACUAGCAGUUGCUAUUGACAUGCUUCCAAAAUAACUCAUUCAAACACAAUUUGGAAACCAAACGUAUGUGCAAGAUGUUUUACUGAUAGAUAAAAGCUUCCAUACAAUCAUCUUAACAAUGUGGAAUAGUUAUGUCAAAAAAGAAUGUGCUUCUGCUUGUGAUCUUAACCAACUAGUUGAAAGUUUCAUCAUUUAAUGGUGCUACUUCUUAUGUCUUACUGUGCAGCUUAAUAUUGUCCAUGAAAAUUGCCAUGAUUAUGUACAAGCAACAACUAAUGUUAGGUGUUCGCUACAGGCCUUACACUUUCAACCAAAAUAAAUAGCACCUUCUUUAUCGAUGCUAGAUUCAACAAAGUUGUGGAAUUCCGAGCAUGGGUUGAAGCACAUUCUGAGGAACUGAAUGAAAUCGCACUGGAGAGUAACACCAACUAAUCUAUCUCCUCCAGCUCACAAGAAAUUUAUGCAGAUAUAAAAUAUAAAAGAACAGCUACUAGGGCACAAAUACUUCUGGAUCAAAGCCAAAGCAACCAUCAAGACAACAAAGCAAGCUUUCUGGUACAUGUCAUGUAGCAAUUGCAAUAAAGUUAGCCACGAAAAUUUUGGUAAGACUUUUCCAUGUAUUUACUGCAAAUAUACUUCCGCAAAGGCUGUCCCUAGGUAAUCCUCACUAAAUUCCUUUCCGAUUUGUACCACUUAAAGAAAUACCUUGUUAAACUUCACACAGGUUCUUCCAUUUCAAUCUUUUUUCUUAAUAAUAAUGAUCUCAAUCUCCAUUAUCAUAGGGCAAAUGCUAAUGUACAGUUAGAAGAUGCAAGUGGAAUCUUAAUUACAGGCAAGUGAUCCAAACAUUAAUGAGUUCGUUCAACUAAAUCCUGAAGAAGAACUUAUCUUUUAUCUCAAAGUCACACAACUGGAGCCAAACGCUACAGAGUACAACACUGCUUUUGCCUACAACUCUUCCAUGACGUUUAAGCUUAGCAAGAAUGUAUAACGAGCUUCAUGAUGGUUUAGCUUGUGGCUUAACUAUUAUGGGAUAUCAAUGCUUUUGAAAUGUGUAUAUAUAUAUAUAAAUCAUCCAGUGUUUCUUCCUGAGAAUGUUAUUUUAUAGUUUACCUUAGUUUUGUUAA